rnacentral:rRNA from 1 species
UACGUAGGGGGCAAGCGUUUGUCCGGAUUUAUUGGGCGUAAAGAGCUCGUAGGCGGUUGGGCAAGUCACGUGUGAAAUCUCCACGCUCAACGUGGAGGCGCCACGUGAGACUGCCCUGACUCGAGUCCGGUAGGGGAGCGUGGAAUUCCCGGUGUAGCGGUGAAAUGCGCAGAGAUCGGGAGGAACACCCGUAGCGAAGGCGGCGCUCUGGGCCGGUACUGACGCUGAGGAGCGAAAGCGUGGGGAGCAAACAGG